GUUGGGGGGAUGGGUAGCAUCUGGAUUGCCUCUCCCUCUGCCCCCACCUGAGCCUAGACCCUGGACCCUGGAAACUCUCUGUGUCUUUCUGGAGCUAUUGUGUUUUGUCUGAACUCCAAGUCCUGUCUUCCUGUCUUCCAACCUUUACUCUCGUAUCCCUGACACAAGACAUGUCAGAAAUAGGAGACUUGGCUGUCAGUAAAGGCCACAUACACUCACUUAAGUGGAGGUUAUGAGGAGGGUCUGCAGGGGAGGUGGGAGGAGAUGGUAGAGAGAUGAUGGUGAACAUUCCUCCCUGUUGUCAUAAUUUUAUUAAAGGCACAAAAGUCCUGGAGGAAGUAGCAGGGUAUAAGUAGAAAAAACCAUGACUUUAGAUUUGGGGGCAGACACAUCCAGAUUCAAGCCCCAGCCAUGAAUGAGUACCUUAGGCAAACUGCCUCAGUUUUUCCUGUCUAUAAAAUAGGCUAAUUCUUCCUUCUUCACAGGGUUGCUGUGGAACAUUUAGCCCAUGGCCUGCCUCAUAGACAAUGAUUAAUAAACCCCAAUGGCCUGGCCUCACAGGGCACAUCCUAUUUGGUAGGCCUACAUUGACCUCCCAUCGUCACCACAGUGGCCUCAUGAGGAAGAUGUAUUUAUGUUCACUCCAUUUACAGGGUACUGUCCUCCCCAACAAAAAUCACCAGCCAACUAUCCACCUGAGACGCUAACCAUGGAAUCACAGGAUAUCAGGACUGACAAGGAUCUUGAGACCAUCUAGUCUGUCCCACUGAUUUUAGAGAGGAGGAAGUAACAGCUCAGUGGGAGGACCUGAACUUGCCUGUCGGUUGUGUUAAAAUAUGUGUGUGUGUGUGUACACAUAUAUAUGUAUAUGUGUGUAUAUCACAUAUUUAAAUUGGGAGGAGGGGCUUUCCCUUGGCUUCCUAUUAAAAGUUUCUUUUUUAAGAAAUCCCAACAUGUUAGCUGAAUAAAAGGACAGAGGACUUGUUCUACACCCAGGUGUGGUUAGCUAUGGGGAUUGGUGCUUCCCUAGAGACCACAUCUGGGGUUGGCAGGGGGUGAAGCCCUAGGCCAAUGGAGAACCAAGUAGGGCAGCUGGCGAAUCGGUCUCUGACACUGCUGUGCACGAUUAGUGUGACCUGAAGCAGCUGCUCAGUCUCUCUGAAUCUCAGUCUCAUCUCUCCCAGCAGGGUGAUUUUGAGGAUAAAACUAGACAAUUUAUAUAAAGCAUCCAGCUCAGGGCCUGGCACGUAGUAGGGGCUUAGUAAAUGGGUAAGAGUAUUGUGUGUUGGGCACCUAGUUUAGAUUAGGUGCUAUGGAUUCCAAGAAAAUGGGAUCCUUCCCCAGGUUGCUCGCUGCCAGUCAGGGGAGACAGACAGACGGACAGCCCCCCUCGGUGAGCAUAGUGGGAUAAGCUUUGUUAGAUGGGCACGUUCUGCGGCAGCACAGAACAGAGCUCAACUGGCUUCUCUUGCUGAGGGAAUCAGACAAGGCCUCAUGGAGGAGGUGACUUUUGUCUGCACCUUGAAGGAAGAGUAAUACCAAACAGAGGAAUUGGGGAGGGCAUUUGAGACAGGGAAGAGCA
ensembl:lncRNA